GCCGAACAAAAGCUAUUCCUAAAGCUAGGAUAUGGGGAGCCUCAGAAAUUGUAUUCUUCCUAUUCAUAUAAGUGAGGACAAAAGUCAUCACUCUUCCAACUCUGGGGAUCCCUUCUGUCCCUCAGGGUAUGGCCCUCCACUUCAUUUUUGGGGCAUAAUAUCUUCAUAGGACACAGGUAAGGUCUCAAUACUAACAGGAGAAUGCUUAGGAAUCUAACAGGUAUUUGAGAAUGCAUCAGUAAGGGCCACUAAAUCCGACUUUUCUUGAUUCUCUUUGUGGUCUAGGAGGACAGGCAAGGGUGCAGGUUUUUGAGAAUGCAUCAGUAAGGGCCACUAAAUCCAACUUUCCUCAGUCCUCCUUGUGGUCUAGUGUUUCUGCUGCUGCUUCAGGAAGCACAACUAUUCAGAUCAGCAGGGUCCAGGGACUGUUGUGGUUUCUUGGGCAAGAGAUGUUUCUACUGCUGCAUUGUUAAGGUGGCAGGAGUGCAAUCUUGGAUUCACCACACCCGAGUUAAAUUUUGGACAUCCCCUGAGGAACCUGUGGGACCGUCAGCUCAGGAGUCCCAAGAUCAGCCAGACCAGCCUUGAUACACGUGUGAACCAUUGGAGGACUUGCAUCUUCUAUUUCAGAAGGAAACAUCACAGACUAAAAAAGCUGCUACCACUGAUCCUGAAGAAAAACACCUUCCUCCUUAAAAAAGAUAAGUGAAAACCUAUAUAAUCUUUAACACCUCUCUGUGCCCCUUUAAUGGAAUCCUUUUACUAUUUCAUCAUAUUAUUAAGCAGCAUACUAACCAUACUCUUCGCAGUAAGGCUAUAUACUAUAGCUCCUGCCGGGAUGAAAAUAAUAUAGAACACAGAGAGCCACUCAGUUUGUUCCCAGUACCCCUUUCCAGCCACUCACCGGAGCUAUCUUGGGAAGCACUCUAGGAGUAUGGGAAAAGGAAAACAAUAAGCACACACCAUUUUAUCAUAAACAACCAGUUCUGUCUAUCCAGCCAAGGUAUAUUCUUCUUAUGUGGAACGUUGACCUAUAUCUGCCUCCCCACUAACUGGACAGGCACUAGCAUCUUAGUCUUUCUAAGUCCCAACAUUAACAUUGCCCCAGGAAAUCAGACCCUAUCAGUACCCCUCAAAACUCAAGUCCAUCAGCACAGAGCCAUACAACUAAUACCCCUACUUAUAGAGUUAGGAAUGGCUACUGCUACAGGAACCAGAAUAGCAAGAUUAUCUACUUCAUUAUCCUAACUACCACAUACUCUCAAAGGAUUUCUCGGACAGUUUACAAGAAAUAAUGAAAUCUAUCCUUACUCUACAAUCCCAAAUAGACUCUUUGGCAGCAGUGACUCUCCAAAACUGCUGAGGCCUAGACCUCCUCACUGCUGAGAAAGGAGGACUCUGGACCUUCUUAGGGGAAGAGUGCUGUUUUUACACUAACCAGUCAGGGAUAGUACGAGAUGCUGCCCGACAUUUAUAGGAAAAGGCUUCUGAAAUCAGACAACACCUUUCAAACUCUUAUACCAACCUCUGGAGUUAGGCAUCAUGGCUUCUCCCCUUUCUAGGUCCCAUGACAGACAUCUUGCUAUUACUCACCUUGGGGCCCUGUAUUUUUAAUCUCCUUGUCAAAUUUGUUUCCUCUAGGAUCAAGGCCAUCAAACUACAGAUGGUCUUAGAAAUGGAACCCCAAAUGAGCUUAACUAACAACUUCUACUGAGGACCCCUGAACUGAUCCACUGGCCCUUUCACUUGCCUAAAAGGUUCCCCUCUGGAGGACACUACGGCUUCAGAGCCCCUUCUUUGCCCUAUCCAGCAGGAAGUAGCUAGAAUGGUCAUUGCCCAAUUCCCAACAGCAAUCGGGGUGUCCUGUUUGAGGGGGGGGAUUGAGAGGUGAAGCCAGCUGAGCUUCUGGGUUGGGUGGGGACUUGGGGUACUUUUCUGUCUAACUAAAGGAUUGUAAACGCACCAAUCAGUGCUCUGUGUCUAGCUAAAAGUUUGUAAAUGCACCAAUCAGCACUCUGUAAAAAUGGAUCAAUCAGCACUCUGUAAAAUGGACCAGUCAGUGCUCUGUAAAAUGGACCAAUCAGCAGGAUGUGGGCAGGGCCAAAUAAGGGAAUAAAAGCUGGCCACCUGAGCCAGCAGCAGCAACCCGCUGGGGUCCCCUUCCACACUGUGGAAGCUUUGUUAUUUCGCUCUUUGCAAUAAAUCUUGCUGCUGCUCACUCUUCGGGUCCGCACUACCUUUAUGAGCUGUAACACUUACUGCAAAGGUCUGCCCCUUCACUCCUAAAGACAGUGAGAACCACGAACCCACUGGAGGGAAGGAACAACUCUGGACGCGCUACCUUUAAGAGCUGUAACACUCACUGCGAAGGUCUGCAGCUUAACUCCUGAAGUCAGUGAGACCAAGAACCCACCAGAACGAACCAAUUCUGGAUA
ensembl:lncRNA